rnacentral:rRNA from 1 species
GAUGAACGCUGGCGGCGUGCCUAAUACAUGCAAGUCGAGCGAACGGACGAGAAGCUUGCUUCUCUGAUGUUAGCGGCGGACGGGUGAGUAACACGUGGAUAACCUACCUAUAAGACUGGGAUAACUUCGGGAAACCGGAGCUAAUACCGGAUAAUAUUUUGAACCGCAUGGUUCAAAAGUGAAAGACGGUCUUGCUGUCACUUAUAGAUGGAUCCGCGCCGCAUUAGCUAGUUGGUAAGGUAACUGCUUACCAAGGCAACGAUGCAUAGCCGACCUGAGAGGGUGAUCGGCCACACUGGAACUGAGACACGGUCCAGACUCCUACGGGAGGCAGCAGUAGGGAAUCUUCCGCAAUGGGCGAAAGCCUGACGGAGCAACGCCGCGUGAGUGAUGAAGGUCUUCGGAUCGUAAAACUCUGUUAUUAGGGAAGAACAUAUGUGUAAGUAACUGUGCACAUCUUGACGGUACCUAAUCAGAAAGCCACGGCUAACUACGUG